UACGUAGGGUGCAAGCGUUGUCCGGAAUCACUGGGCGUAAAGGGCGCGUAGGCGGCUCAUGAAGGCUGUGGUGAAAGUCCGGGGCUCAACCUCGGAUCGGCCGUGGCGACUCGUGGGCUGGAGCACUGUAGAGGCGGGUGGAAUUCCGGGUGUAGCAGUGGAAUGCGUAGAGAUCCGGAAGAACACCAGUGGCGAAGGCGGCCCGCUGGGCAGUGGCUGACGCUGAGGCGCGACAGCGUGGGGAGCAAACAGG
rnacentral:rRNA from 1 species